rnacentral:tRNA from 1 species
GGGCCGGUAGCUCAGCCUGGAGGAGCGCUCGGUUUGCACCCGAGAGGUCCGGGGUUCGAAUCCCCGCCGGUCCA